CCACUUAAACCAGGACACUGUCAUCUCUGAACAUGUCACCUCAGACAUGAAAGGCUCACUGGAGGUUAUCACAGAUGGCUUAGGGAUAUAGGAAACUCUGAGAUUAAAGAUUACCUGUAUGGUAAAUAAUAAGAUAUUUACUAGCAGAAAUGAACAACGAUGGAAGAAAUGAACAACAAUGAGGACGCCUUGAUUUUAUGAAGUUACUAACAGUACGCGAAAUUGUACAACAUCAGAAUUCCUAGUGCCCAUAUGAUCGAUUCAAUUAAUACCAACGAUACCUGACAAAGCUUCCCAAGGCAUAUGAUUGCCUGUACACCAUCAAAAGACUAAAAUAAACUAUGGCCUGUUUAAUAUUUGGGGCUUACCUGUUUAUCUGUGUCUUCCUACCAGAGAAUGUAUUUGGACAAGCUACAGAUGUGCGUUUAGUAGGUGGGACUACAGAAUAUGCUGGCAGGGUGGAGCUGCUCUAUACAGGACAAUGGGGAACUAUAUGUUCAGAUGGCUGGGACAGGCAGGAUGCUGCUGUCAUAUGCCGCAUGAUGAAUUUUACGGGUGAAUUCAAGGAAGCCUACACUACUGACCUAGGCACAGGAACAGGUCCUAUAUGGUUGACUGAGGUUGACUGUGAUGGCAACGAACAAUCAAUCAACGAUUGCCGUCACACAGGUUGGGGUUCAACCACUUGCAAACGGGGUGUAGAUCGUGAUGCUGGUGUGGUAUGUAUCAUAGAAACAGAGACAACGACUCAGUCAUCUUCAACAGUGACAACCACACCUAAAACAACAACCACUACAACACCAGAGACUAUAUGUGACAACCCUAGUAGCACUGUUCGUCUGACAGGAGGCCGUAACUCAGCACAAGGGAUUGUAGAAGUCCUGUAUAACAGCACUUGGGGGUCUGUAUGUGAUGACAAGUUUGGACAAAAUAAUGCAGAUGUGGUUUGCAGAAGUCUGUGUUACAGUAUUGUACAUGCUAAAGCAGUCCUGGGAGAGUUUGGUAACAUAACAACAAAUGAUUACUGGAUGGAUGAAGUUGUGUGCAAUGGUAGCGAGGGAAACAUUGAGGAGUGUCCAUUUGCUGGCUGGGGGGUGCAUAACUGUGAUCCUACUGAGGCUGCUGGGGUGAGAUGUGAACCAGAGAGUACUCCAGAGUUGCCUGUUCCCGAGCCUGUUGUUCAAUGCACAAGCAACACAAUCGACAUUGCAUUUGCCCUCGCUGUUGAUGGACGUCUAAAAGAGGAACAUCUUUCAUUAAAAGAUGGCACACCUGCUGAUUGUGGGUUUAAAACAUCAUCAAACACAAGCUACGUCACAGCACAUAUUCCUAUGAAAAGCUGUGGAACAGAGAGAACUACCAAUUCAACUCACAUAAUCUACACGAAUGAACUCAUCCACAAUAUCGUUCCUGAAGGAAUCAUAAGGCGUGAUAACGAGUACACGAUCACGGUUCAUUGCAUUCACCCUCGGGACAGUGGCGCCAGUGGCGGUAUUAACCCAGAGACAAAGACUCUGCCUCCAGGCAUAGGCGAACACAACUUUGACGUUGAAAUGUACUUCUAUCGCAAUUUCACAUUCAAGGAACCAAUCACAGAGUUCCCAAUUAGAAUAUCCCUAGGUGAUUGGUUACAUGUUGGGGUGGUCUUGAAGGGGUCUGAUCCUACGUUGAAGUUGAUUGUACCUGAGUGUUUCGCCACCCCGCUAGAAGAUAAGACAUCAACACCACGCUAUGAUCUUAUCAGAGAUAAAUGUAAGGCUGACUCUACCGUAACAUAUUACCCAUUCAAUGAGACAGUAUUUGCCUUCCGAUUCCAAAGCUUCGCCUUUAAUGACUAUACUACAAUGUAUCUCCAUUGUGAUGCAUUUAUAUGUGAGUCUGAUGAGAAAAACGACCAGUGUGAUCGCACUUGUAGAGUACAAGGACGUAAGAGAAGAAGUGCCGAUAUGAGAGACAUUCUCCAUAUUGACAAAGGGCCAAUCAUAAUUGAGCACAUUCGACUGUUGCCAGAUAGCAGCACUGAAACAUCACCAGUGAUAAAGUCUGAAUCCACACAAAAUAGAUGGAACCUCUGUCUGCACAUCCUAGGGACAAUCAUCAUGUGUCUAUUAACUGUGUUACCAUGGCGAUGGACUUAAAACAGAGAAAGGAAUCCUCAUUAGCAAUGACACUUGGAGAAAUUACCAUAAUAUGUAUCCUACCCACAAUUUGUUACAUUCCAUGAUAGAGUAAGGUGCAUAAAAUUAAAAUUCCUAUAAAAAUUUAAACUUGGUAUAUUUCACCCCUUAGAAAUAUAUCCACCAUUGUAGAAACUUAUACAUUCCAUUGAAGGAGCUAGAACUCAAAAAGUGUGCCUUUAACAGUAUUUAGAUUUCAUGUACUAGGAAAUCUGGAUGACUUACCAUCAGUGCAACACAUUCCCUGCAUAACAUUUGAUUGUGUCUACUAUUGUAACAUAUUUGCUCAGCCAUUCUUUGACUAGCUCAUUAUGACAGACAUUGACUAGAAUAUUUGAAUAAAUUUGUUUUCAGGGAUAUGAAACAAGAGCAGUGGUAGCACCACAGCUUUCUUAGAAUUAUUUGUAUAUGUGUACAUAUAAUUGUACAUAGUCUAUAUUGUACAUAAACAUAAAGAAUUUCAAGUGCCAAAUUAACAUGUAGGAUAUUCAAUAGGAAAAAAUUUAUUUCAUUUAUUUUGAGAAUGCUCAUUAGAUGUUGAUCCUUAUGUAGUUAUGAAAGUGCAUCAGUAUACCGUAAUUGAAUUUUUUGUUGACUAUAAUGUAUGGUCAAAAAUAUUUUGACUUCAUAUAAUGAUAAGAUUGCUUGGAGAUUUUUAAAUAAUUUUCAAAUCCAAAUAUUGUUCUUGCCUCAUUAUUUAUUUAAGUCAUUGAGUAAUGAAAUGAUGAGCAGUUGGAUGAAUUUAUAUUGAAUGAGCAAGGUGUUGUUACACCCCUCUCCAUAAGUUUGGAAACGGAAAGUCCCCUUUGGGUAACAUGUCAAAGCUUGCUCAUGCUUGUUUGAUUGAAGUUUGCAAACUUUAUUCCUCAAUUAUGAGGUCAGAAAAUGAUGUAAUUUUGAAAAUUGCCAAAGCUAGACAGCUUUGACAUAUGGCUCAAAAGUGGACUUCCAGUUGCCAAACUUUAAAAGGGGGGUGUACGUGUAUAUCACAUUUUUAGUUAA
rnacentral:misc_RNA from 1 species